AACCAGCUCUUCAAGUGGUCGGGAUAAUUAAUUGGGCUUAAAGUGUCCGUAGCCGGAUUGGAAAGUUCCUGGUAAAAUCGGGUAGCUUAACUAUCUGCAUGCUAGGAAUACUAUCAUUCUAGAGGGCGGGAAAGGUCUGAGGUACUACAGGGGUAGGGGUGAAAUCUUAUAAUCCUUGUAGGACCACCAGUGGCGAAGGCGUCAGACUGGAACGCGCCUGACGGUGAGGGACGAAAGCCAGGGGAGCGAACCGGAUUAGAUACCCGGGUAGUCCUGGCCGUAAACGAUGCAUACUAGGUGAUGGCAUGGCCAUAAGCCAUGUCAGUGCCGUAGGGAAACCGUUAAGUGUGCCGCCUGGGAAGUACGGUCGCAAGGCUAAAACUUAAAGGAAUUGGCGGGGGAGCACCACAAGGGGUGAAGCCUGCGGUUC
rnacentral:rRNA from 1 species